rnacentral:misc_RNA from 1 species
GUGAAUCAUCGAAUCUUUGAACGCAAAUUGCACUCUCUUCGGAGAGUAUGCCUGUUUGAGGGUCAGCAUUAAUAAAAAUCGGAGUGUUGCUUCUUUGUGAUGAUCCGGAGUUUGGGUCAUCUUAAUAUCCUUCAGGUUUUAAGAGGCUUAAUAUCGACUUUUUUUGCGUUUUAUAGAUGUACAUAAAUUCUUUUUUUUUUUCGUCUGUCUUAAUGCUCAAUUUCCUAUUAGAUGCGUC